rnacentral:rRNA from 1 species
UGGGGAAUAUUGCACAAUGGGCGCAAGCCUGAUGCAGCCAUGCCGCGUGUGUGAAGAAGGCCUUCGGGUUGUAAAGCACUUUCAGCGAGGAGGAAGGUGGUGAACUUAAUACGUUCAUCAAUUGACGUUACUCGCAGAAGAAGCACCGGCUAACUCCGUGCCAGCAGCCGCGGUAAUACGGAGGGUGCAAGCGUUAAUCGGAAUUACUGGGCGUAAAGCGCACGCAGGCGGUUUGUUAAGUCAGAUGUGAAAUCCCCGGGCUCAACCUGGGAACUGCAUUUGAAACUGGCAAGCUAGAGUCUCGUAGAGGGGGGUAGAAUUCCAGGUGUAGCGGUGAAAUGCGUAGAGAUCUGGAGGAAUACCGGUGGCGAAGGCGGCCCCCUGGACGAAGACUGACGCUCAGGUGCGAAAAGCGUGGGGAGCAAAACAGGAUUAGAUACCCUGGUAGUCCACGCUGUAAACGAUGUCGAUUUGGAGGUUGUGCCCUUGAGGCGUGGCUUCCGGAGCUAACGCGUUAAAUCGACCGCCUGGGGAGUACGGCCGCAAGGUUAAAACUU